rnacentral:rRNA from 1 species
UCUACGGGCGGCAGCAGUGGGGAAUCUUGCGCAAUGGGCGAAAGCCUGACGCAGCGACGCCGCGUGCGGGAAGAAGGCCUUCGGGUUGUAAACCGCUUUCAGGAGGGACGAGGCCACUCAGGUUAAUAGCCGAGAGGGUGACGGUACCUCCAGAAGAAGCCCCGGCUAACUACGUGCCAGCAGCCGCGGUAAUA